UCAUAGAUUCUGCGAAUCAGGAAACCAGCCAGGAGGACUAGUUUCGACUCCAUAUCUGAGACCUGGGCUGGGAAGACUUCGUCAGCUGGAGGUAGCUGACCAAAUUCCCAGGGGCUGGAAGCAUCCGGAUGCCACUUCCCACACAUCUGACACCUGGCCUGAGAUGACUGGAAGGCUGGACUCAGGGGGAACUGCAAAGCAAGACAUCAACUCAUAUGACUUCUCCAUGGAGCUUGGGUGUCCUCACAACAUUGCAGCUUCAAAGUCCUUGAACGUCUUACUUGGCACCUCCAGCUUCCAAGAGGUGGUCAUGAAAGGCCUUUGCGAAGACGGGGCAUGGACCUAAAUGGAAUAUGAAUACUCGUCAUACAUCAUGUGGAUUCCUGGAGGAAGAGCUCUGCACAUGCCAAAGGCUUGACAGAGGAGAGGGAGUGGGAGGACGUAUCGCUCCAACAUCCUUAGAGGGAAUAAAUGAUAAGAGGAAAGGGCCAGAGUUCAGAGCUUGUGUGCCCAACACCAGCACCAACAUGCCAGCUUGAAUGUCUAGCACAGCCUGUUCCUGGGUCCAUGAGAAGAGAUGAGGUCAGAGAGAUACUAGAGGGCCAGAGCCUGCAGAACUUUGUGGGUCAUUGUUAGGAUGUUGGCUUUCACUUUGAAUGAGCUGGGGAACCAUUGAAUAUGCUGAGUAGAGAUGUUUCAUGAUCUGAAUAGACUUUAAGGAGCAAGAAUGGAGGCAGGGACCAGUUAAGAGGCUGCGAUAAGAGUUUAGGCCAAAGAUCACAUGGAAUUGGAUCAGGAUGGCCGAGGUGAAGGUGGUGGAAAAUACAAAGAUGGUUUGCCAACUCUCCAAGUGAGGCUGAAAGAUUUGCUCCUGGGACUGUGCAUGAAAUGGAGAAAUCACAGUCACUUCAAAGUCUUGUCUUAAGAAAGCAAGAGAAUGGAGUUGUCACUGGCUGAGAUGGAAGGAGUUCGGGGUGAUCAGCAUGUUUGGGGGAGACUGAAAUGUGGGCUUCUGUGUUUGACAGGCUACACUGACCAUGACUCUCGGACCUCCACGUGGAAAUGUUGAGCAAGCAAACACACAAGUCUAGAGCUGGAGGAGCAGCCUGUCUCAAAACCCUGCAGUCCUUGCUAAGCUCCGUUCCAUUUGCUCACCACCCAGCCAGCAAGCCCUCCCCGCACCCCACCACCAUGUUGUAGUCCCUCUCUCUGUGUCUCUUGGUUCAAAUUUUGAAGAGAGAAAUCUGAUUGAUGGAUAGACACCAAUGGGUUGGCUGACUUUGAAUCUGAUGCUUCCAUCUGUGGCCAGCGAGAGGAGGACUCUGCUUUUCCAACAUAGACGUCUGGACUCAGAAGAUCCUUGCGUCAGGCAUUUCCCGGGAAAAGGAACUAUUUUAUAGUAAAUGUCACCCUAGUGCAAAUUCUGUAGUUGCAAAAGUAGCAAAGGAGAAAGUCCAUGGUUUCCCGAUAAGCCCUUCCUGAGAAUAAACUUCAGGUAUGAUGAUGAGCUAAACAUUAAAUAAAUAGGAAUCAAAUACACUGGAAUGAAAGCAGUGAGGUUAAAAAAAGGGGGGAAGAAAAGAGGAUCGAAAUGAAAAGGAAAGAAAAGAAAAUGUAGAAAACAAGAGGGAAAGAACAGAGUUCACCAAAUGAAACGUUUCCCUGAGAAUGUGUGUGUGUGUCUGAGGCCAGUAGAUCAGUAGAGAAAGAAUGAAUCAGGGGUUUUAGAGAAACAAAAAUGCAAAAAGGGGGGAAAGGGGGUAUGUGUUGGAUUAUAGCCAGUUUUCCAGCUCCAGACAUCUGGAGCCAAGACAGGGAAAGGUGAGGAGAUGUCCUUUGCCGCAGCUCUUGCCUCCAUGGG